CUUCGGUUGUAAGUUCUGUUAUUGGGAAAGAACAUCAUAUUCCGGNAAUGGGAUAUGACUGACGGUACCCAAUUAGAAAGCCCCGGCCNACUACGUGCCNGCAGCCGCGGUAAUA
rnacentral:rRNA from 1 species